AAAACGACUCUCGGCAACGGAUAUCUAGGCUCUCGCAUCGAUGAAGAACGUAGCGAAAUGCGAUACUUGGUGUGAAUUGCAGAAUCCCGCGAAUCAUCGAGUUUUUGAACGCAAGUUGCGCCCGAAGCCAUUCGGCCGAGGACACGUCUGCCUGGGUGUCACGC
rnacentral:rRNA from 2 species